rnacentral:rRNA from 1 species
UGGGGGGGAGCUUAACAUGCAAGUCGAACGAUGAAGCCCAGCUUGCUGGGUGGAUUAGUGGCGAACGGGUGAGUAACACGUGAGUAACCUGCCCUUGACUUCGGGAUAACUCCGGGAAACCGGGGCUAAUACUGGAUAUGAGCCGUCCUCACAUGGGGGUGGUUGGAAAAUUAUUGGCUUCGGAUGGGCUCAUGGACGAACCCCUUGUUGAUGAGCUGAUUGGUGACGUAACGGCUCACCAAUGCAACGAUGCAUAGCCCAACUGACAGGGUGAUCACUCACACUGGGACUGAAAUCCUACCCAAAGUCCUACUGGAGAGAAUUAGUAAGUAAUCUUCCGCACAUGAACAAAAGUCUCCACGAGAAGCACCAACGUGAUUGAUGUUGUGAAUUUCUUUCAUAAAAGUAUAAUCGCAAGUGACGGUACCUGCAGAAGAAGCGCCGGCUAACUACGUGCCAGCAGCCGCGGUAAUACGUAGGGCGCAAGCGUUGUCCGGAAUUAUUGGGCGUAAAGAGCUCGUAGGCGGUUUGUCGCGUCUGGUGUGAAAACUCGAGGCUCAACCUCGAGCUUGCAUCGGGUACGGGCAGACUAGAGUGCGGUAGGGGAGACUGGAAUUCCUGGUGUAGCGGUGGAAUGCGCAGAUAUCAGGAGGAACACCGAUGGCGAAGGCAGGUCUCUGGGCCGCAACUGACGCUGAGGAGCGAAAGCAUGGGGAGCGAACAGGAUUAGAUACCCUGGUAGUCCAUGCCGUAAACGUUGGGCACUAGGUGUGGGGCUCAUUCCACGAGUUCCGUGCCGCAGCAAACGCAUUAAGUGCCCCGCCUGGGGAGUACGGCCGCAAGGCUAAAACUCAAAGGAAUUGACGGGGGCCCGCACAAGCGGCGGAGCAUGCGGAUUAAUUCGAUGCAACGCGAAGAACCUUACCAAGGCUUGACAUGCACGAGAAGCCACCAGAGAUGGUGGUCUCUUUGGACACUCGUGCACAGGUGGUGCAUGGUUGUCGUCAGCUCGUGUCGUGAGAUGUUGGGUUAAGUCCCGCAACGAGCGCAACCCUCGUCCCAUGUUGCCAGCGGGUUAUGCCGGGGACUCAUGGGAGACUGCCGGGGUCAACUCGGAGGAAGGUGGGGAUGACGUCAAAUCAUCAUGCCCCUUAUGUCUUGGGCUUCACGCAUGCUACAAUGGCCGGUACAAAGGGCUGCGAUACCGUAAGGUGGAGCGAAUCCCAAAAAGCCGGUCUCAGUUCGGAUGGGGGUCUGCAACUCGACCCCAUGAAGUCGGAGUCGCUAGUAAUCGCAGAUCAGCAACGCUGCGGUGAAUACGUUCCCGGGCCUUGUACACACCGCCCGUCAAGUCACGAAAGUCGGUAACACCCGAAGCCCAUGGCCCAACCGUUCGCGAGCCGACUGUCCUAAUAUGUUCCCCCCG